GUCACUCAUUGGUCACUCAGGGUCACUCAUUGGUCACUCAUUGGUCACUCAUUGGUCACUCAGGGGUCACUCAUUGGUCACUCAUUGGUCACUCAUUGAUCACUCAUUGGUCACUCAGGGUCACUCAUUGGUCACUCAUUGGUCACUCAUUGGUCACUCAGGCUCAUUGGUCACUCAUUGGUCACUCAGUGGUCACUCAGGGUCACUCAUUGGUCACUCAUUGGUCACUCAGGGUCACUCAGGGUCACUCGGGGUCAUUCAUUGGUCACUCAUUGGUCACUCAGGGUCACUCAGUGGUCACUCAGUGGUCACUGGUCACUCAUUGGUCACUCAGGGUCACUCAUUGGUCACUCAGGGUCACUCAGUGGUCACUCAGGGUCACUCAGGGGUCACUCAUUGGUCACUCAUUGAUCACUCAUUGGUCACUCGGGGUCACUCAUUGGUCACUCAUUGGUCACUCGGGCUCAGUGGUCACUCAUUGAUCACUCAUUGGUCACUCGGGGUCAGUGGUCACUCGGUGGUCACUCAGGGUCACUCAUUGAUCACUCAUUGGUCACUCAUUGAUCACUCACUGGUCACUCAUUGAUCACUCAUUGGUCACUCGGGGUCAGUGGUCACUCGGUGGUCACUCGGGGUCACUCGGGGUCACUGACCGGCCGCAGGGCGUUCUCGAUGGUGGCUUUGGGCACGUUCAGGCUCCGGCAGCGCUCCAGCAGCGCCGCCAGCGCCGGGUUCAGCGCCGGCUCCGCGCCGCCCUCUGCCGCGAUAUUGAGAUAUUGAUCACCCCGGGGCCG
rnacentral:lncRNA from 1 species